rnacentral:rRNA from 1 species
UACAGAGGGGGCAAGCGUUGUUCGGAAUUACUGGGCGUAAAGGGCGCGUAGGCGGCCUUCUAAGUCGAACGUGAAAUCCCCGGGCUCAACCCGGGAACUGCGUCCGAUACUGGAAGGCUUGAAUCCGGGAGAGGGAUGUGGAAUUCCAGGUGUAGCGGUGAAAUGCGUAGAUAUCAGGAGGAACACCGAUGGCGAAGGCAGGUCUCUGGGCUGACACUGACGCUCAUGCACGAAAGCGUGGGGAGCAAACAGG